GACGAACGCUGGCGGCGUGCUUAACACAUGCAAGUCGAACGAAGAGCGAUGGAAGCUUGCUUCUAUCAAUCUUAGUGGCGAACGGGUGAGUAACGCGUAAUCAACCUGCCCUUCAGAGGGGGACAACAGUUGGAAACGACUGCUAAUACCGCAUACGAUCUAAUCUCGGCAUCGAGGAUAGAUGAAAGGUGGCCUCUACAUGUAAGCUAUCACUGAAGGAGGGGAUUGCGUCUGAUUAGCUAGUUGGAGGGGUAACGGCCCACCAAGGCGAUGAUCAGUAGCCGGUCUGAGAGGAUGAACGGCCACAUUGGGACUGAGACACGGCCCAGACUCCUACGGGAGACAGCAGUGGGGAAUCUUCCGCAAUGGACGAAAGUCUGACGGAGCAACGCCGCGUGAGUGAUGACGGCCUUCGGGUUGUAAAGCUCGGUUAAUCGGGACGAAAGGCCUUCUUGCGAAUAGUGAGAAGGAUUGACGGUACCGGAAGAGAAAGCCACGGCUAACUACGUG
rnacentral:rRNA from 1 species